UUUUUUUUUUUUUUUUUUUAAGUUCUGAGCUCGCAGUACUUGGGCCGAGCCGGCGAGAUCUCGCGAGAUGUGGCAUGGCUUCAGGGCCGCUUCACCUCAGGCUGGUGGUACCCGAAGCGGUGCUAGAGCUGCGGGUCGCCCCUAGCUCCGGUGGGUGAAGCCGGGGAUUUUCCCGUCGGGCCCGCAGGUGCUUCCGGAGUUGCCUGCGAGGUGCGCCCCGGGCGAGGUCGGCUCGCAGCUCGCGCCGGCCGCCACUGCCGGCCCUCACUCCAGGCCUGAGCCUAGGGGGCGGCAGGAUUUCCUCUGAGCCGCCUUUGAGGCGGUCGACACCCCGCCUGGCCGCGUUAGAUUUGCAUAACCAGAAACACUCCAGUGGAGAUGCAGUGGGUGUGUCCACACUUCGAUGACACCUUUAUUUUAAAAGCUGUGAUGUUUGAAGGUCGUGAUAACCUGUGAUUCCAAUUAAAGAUUUUAAAAAAGAGAAGAGUUCAGCCCUUCAAGUAUUGGUUUGCCCUUCUUAAGCCAGAGUCAGGGAGGCCUCAAGAUGUAGAACUAUGCAGUUACCAAGAUGGCCAACAGUUAAGAGGAAAACAACAAUACAUCUGUUGUUACGAUGAGGAUGCCGGUCUUCUGUUUCACUGGAAGAGCAGUCAGAAGAUACCACCAUAUGAGGACAUGACCCUGAGUGGAAGACAGUGUCUCCCAUGAGGCAGGAGGAAAGAAGGCAGGUGAGUGAUAUGGUUAAAACUCAUUCUACAAAGCACACAAGGCUUCUGUCUCCAUGGGUCACGAUAAAUUUUUUUAACACAGACUU